UGAGAACCACGUCUGCUCUGAGC
rnacentral:miRNA from 2 species